GAAAGACGCAUAUAAAAUCCUUUAAUUUUGCAUCGGGUGUAUUCUUUCAUAAAGUUCAAGUCUAACAGUAUGGCAUCUUGGGCGUUUCAUCUUGCUAAGACGAGUCGACUGACCUUUGGUAAACAUGAAGUUUUCAAAAAUUCGCCAAGGAAAAACCAAAAAUUCCUGAAUGCGGCCCAUAACAUCAAUCGAAAAAGAAAAUCGGCUGCUUUAAGUGAGGAAAAACUCGCUUGAUUAUGAAAUUUCUGGAAGUUUCGAAAUUUUUUUUUUUGCCCUCUUGAAUACGGGAAUACGGAACGGUUAUCAGCUCUAUUGUAUAGAAAAAACAUAAUGGUGCUUCACUGAUGAUUCAAAAAUUGUCUGUUCAAAAAAACUCAUAAAACUAACGUGAAUUUUUCAAGAA